rnacentral:rRNA from 1 species
GACGAACGCUGGCGGCGUGCUUAACACAUGCAAGUCGAGCGGAAAGGCCCUGCUUUUGUGGGGUGCUCGAGUGGCGAACGGGUGAGUAACACGUGAGUAACCUGCCCUUGACUUUGGGAUAACUUCAGGAAACUGGGGCUAAUACCGGAUAGGAGCUCCUGCUGCAUGGUGGGGGUUGGAAAGUUUCGGCGGUUGGGGAUGGACUCGCGGCUUAUCAGCUUGUUGGUGGGGUAGUGGCUUACCAAGGCUUUGACGGGUAGCCGGCCUGAGAGGGUGACCGGCCACAUUGGGACUGAGAUACGGCCCAGACUCCUACGGGAGGCAGCAGUGGGGAAUAUUGCACAAUGGGCGGAAGCCUGAUGCAGCAACGCCGCGUGCGGGAUGACGGCCUUCGGGUUGUAAACCGCUUUCGCCUGUGACGAAGCGUGAGUGACGGUAAUGGGUAAUGAAGCACCGGCUAACUACGUG